rnacentral:rRNA from 1 species
AUUGAACGCUGGCGGCAUGCUUUACACAUGCAAGUCGAACGGCAGCAUAGGUGCUUGCACCUGAUGGCGAGUGGCGAACGGGUGAGUAAUAUAUCGGAACAUGUCCGGAAGUGGGGGAUAACGUAGCGAAAGUUACGCUAAUACCGCAUAUGCCCUGAGGGGGAAAGGGGGGGAUCGUAAGACCUCUCGCUUUCGGAGUGGCCGAUAUCGGAUUAGCUAGUAGGUGAGGUAAAGGCUCACCUAGGCGACGAUCCGUAGCUGGUCUGAGAGGACGACCAGCCACACUGGGACUGAGACACGGCACAGACUCCUACGGGAGGCAGCAGUGGGGAAUUUUGGACAAUGGGCGCAAGCCUGAUCCAGCCAUGCCGCGUGAGUGAAGAAGGCCUUCGGGUUGUAAAGCUCUUUCAGCUGGAAAGAAAUCGUAUCUAUUAAUACUAGGUGCGGAUGACGGUACCAGCAGAAGAAGCACCGGCUAACUACGUGCCAGCCGCCGCCGUAA